rnacentral:tRNA from 1 species
GCCCGAGUGGCUUAGUUUGGUUAAGCGUCUGCCUUCAGCUCAGGUCAUGAUCUCAGGGUUGUGGGAUCAAGUCCUGCCCUGGGCU